rnacentral:lncRNA from 1 species
ACAGAGCAGAUGGAAACAUUAUUUAAAUUUAGAAACCGUGAAUACCACAUGCUGAGCUCAAUGGAGCAAUUCAAGUUGUUUUCCUUUAAAUGAUUUUUGGUUUUUUUUUUAAUGCUGGAUUCUAUUUUGAAUUUUUAAAACAGCACAAACAAAUGUGAUAAAAAACAUUUGAAGGUACCUGUAUUCCUUGCCACAUAAUGCCUCACUUGGACACAAGUGUGAAAAUGUGUCCUAAACAGGCCCAACUUCACAGCUAGUCAUCCUAAAAGACAUUAACACUCCAUUAUUUAUUAGAGCCAUUAUAAAAGAAACUCCAGCACCGUCCCCAAAGAGAGAAAAUCUGUCAUGGUUCCCAGGAAAGAGAAGCAAGGAUUAUCCUUGAAAGCAGUCAAAGGAGAGAAUAGUUUUUACCAACUUGUCAGAGGAGUUGCCAUGGGCACCAGCAAGGAGCCGAGGUUUAAAUGUCAGAUUUCCCUUCCAGUACUGGUUUUUUCCUUUCUUUUGCUUUAUUUUUGCAUGCAUUCCAUUAUUCUCUCUCCUUUUUUCUCCUCUUAUAAGAAUUUCUCUAGCCAUGUCCCUAUUUUCCCAACACCCAGUUUUGCUUCUUUUUAUACCUGUCCUUGGACAUCAUGCCAAUCCUAGGUAACAAAAAUCUGUUUGGCUUUUUUUUUUCUUUUAAGUAAGAGAAUAUGUUCUUGGAUACUGGUUUGAAAGUCAUUAGCAUAUCAAUAUUUGUCCAUCAAAACUUUAAAAAGCCAAUAAAAUUGCAUUAAGAGAGUGAGACAGUUAAGGGAGAAACUGCAGCGUGGAGCCGAGAGCAGCUCAUUUCACGGUUACCGUGCCUGUGUGUUGGGAGACAUGUGGUACAUUUCAUUUUUUGCUAAAAUACUACAAAGAGAGAGAUGGGGGAAGGAAAAGAGCAGAAGGAAAAAGCUCACAUCUGUGGUAAUGUCUCUGCAGGGGGAAAGAAGGCAAAUCCUACCAUUUGUGGAAGGUAUUCAUGUGUUGUCGGCUGGUUAAACUGCAUGUCAAUUGAAUUAAUGUAUCCGUUAAAUCUAGAUAAAAGCUCCGAAGCGGCAGUUUAGAAAACACUUUUUUUCUUUUCUUUUCUGGUUUUUUUUCCAUCCCUUUCCUUAAUUCCUCUAAGCUGCCACAGGACAUCUGGGUUGGUUUUGUUUUGUAUGCUGGAUUUUGUUUAUUCUUGUGUGUCUUCACUGUCAAAAUCCCCAAAUGGGCGCAGCUGCCUUAAAAAAAAAAAAAAAAAAAAAAAAA